UCUCUCAUCCAUUUUUUUGUAUCAGAUGGAGUAGUAGAAAGCCAAAAACUUUCUUUCCCAAAAAAAAGAACUCUUUUACACACUCAAAUAAAAGGUUGUAGUGAGCAAUUAAAGUAUAUCAGAAGACAUUUUGUAUUUGUAUUCUAGAAGAAAAUAAACUAUUUUCAUCACAUCUCUUUCCAAGGUCAAGUUCUAACAAUAAAAGGCAAAGCUUUGGAAUUCACUGCCUCAGAAGGUGUUCCUUUAGGCUUGCAGUCUACAGAAAUUCAAUCAUGGUGUUCUCUGAACAUUACGGUAUUUUACUUUUCGUGGGAACCUGAAUAUAAAAGAAAUCCCAUCACAAGGAAACUGGAAAUUAAUUUACCACUGACAAUAAAUAGUUUACAUUCUUCCUGAACCAAAGAAGUUAUUCAAUACAUCUGAUGUUCAAUGGAAGUUAUUUGCAGAACCCAAAGGCUUGCAUGAGGAGUUCAAGGUGGGACUGUAAUGCUGUUUCUGAGUAGAACUGCUGGUGUGAUAUACAUACAUCCAUAGUCACUAUGAGUAGAUGUAUUUUGAUUGAAUAUCUAAUAGAAAACAGCUGUGUUUCUACUCAUUACAUUGUUUUUUGUAUAUAAACCGCUUAUUCCAAAUUUUAUGCAUCAAAGAGGAAACUUUCUUGAAAAAAAAUUAGUUGAAAGGUGGUGCUUAUCAAAAGGAUCUCUUAACAGGUAAUCGAAAAGUUCUACAAAGAAUUCACUGGGAAUAUUUCUUUGUAAUCAGAAUUAUUCAGAUUUUGAACAUUAGGAAGGUCCUCAUUAAAUUGUUUUAUAAUUUUUUUUAUCUCACUGGUAUGUCAUCACCUCAUUAAUCAAAUCAUUUUCAAUAAGUAUUCCGUAGUUAUUGAAAUAUUUGUUGUUUCAUGAAUUCAUAACAGUAUAUAAGAGAUAAUUGCUUUUGAUUCUUGUUCUUUUUUUGAAACGUUAAAAUAUUCCCAAUGAUUUUUUUAUGUAUUUCCAAAAAUAGAGAGACUUCUGAAUAACUUUUUGAAAAGAAUGAUGUUUAAUGCACAAACCAAGGACUCGACACAACUUUCCCCAUCACCCAUCAUGGAAUUUAUUGCGAAGCACCAACUUCUAUCACAAAAAACUUUUUUUUGUGACAUUCAGAGUAAAAUAGGUUUUAAUUUGUUGCAUACUUCUUGCGACAUACUGCAUUUAUAUAUAACACAGUUACACAUUCAUUAUCUCAUGUUUUAUUGCUGAAAUUUUCUUCCUAUUAUACCUAUAUAUUUGAUUUUUUUAUGAAGUUUGCAAAUACAUUUUGGGAAAAUGA